rnacentral:rRNA from 1 species
AGGGCACCACCAGGAGUGGAGCCUGCGGCUUAAUUUGACUCAACACGGGAAAACUCACCCGGCCCGGACACCGUAAGGAUUGACAGACUGAUAGCUCUUUCUUAAUUCGGUGGGUGGUGGUGCAUGGCCGUUCUUAGUUGGUGGAGCGAUUUGUCUGGUUAAUUCCGAUAACGAACGAGACUCUGGCCUAUUAAAUAAACGAUAUAUUAAAAAGUAUACCGCGCUUCAUAGAGGGACAAGAGGCGUCUAGCCGCAUGAAAUAGAGCAAUAACAGGUCUUUGAUGCCCUUAGAUGGCCGGCGCUGCACGCGCGCUACACUGAAUGAAUCAGCGUGCGUUCUACCUCCCCCGGAUCGACUGGGUAACCCAAGUAAAUUCUUUCGUGGUAGGUAUAUUAAUUGCUAUUCUUUCCCUUAACCAAUGAAUUCCCAGUAAAUUCGGGUCAUAAGCUCGAGUUGAUUACGUCCCUGCCCUUUGUACUCACCGCCCGUUGCCACUUCCGAUAUGGAUGACUUACUGA